rnacentral:rRNA from 1 species
GAAACUCAAAUGAAUUGACGGGACCCGCACAAGCGGUGGAUGAUGUGGUUUAAUUCGAUGCAACGCGAAAACCUUACCCACCUUUGACAUGUACGGAAUCCUUUAGAGAUAGAGGAGUGCUCGAAAGAGAGCCGUAACACAGGUGCUGCAUGGCUGUCGUCAGCUCGUGUCGUGAGAUGUUGGGUUAAGUCCCGCAACGAGCGCAACCCUUGUCAUUAGUUGCUACAUUUGGUUGGGCACUCUAAUGAGACUGCCGGUGACAAGCCGGAGGAAGGUGGGGAUGACGUCAAGUCCUCAUGGCCCUUAUAGGUGGGGCUACACACGUCAUACAAUGGCUGGUACAAAGGGUUGCCAACCCGCGAGGGGGAGCUAAUCCCACAAAGCCAGUCGUAGUCCGGAUCGUAGUCUGCAACUCGACUACGUGAAGUCGGAAUCGCUAGUAAUCGUGGAUCAGAAUGUCACGGUGAAUACGUUCCCGGGUCUU